rnacentral:rRNA from 1 species
GAUCCUGGCUCAGGAUGAACGCUAGCUACAGGCUUAACACAUGCAAGUCGAGGGGCAGCAUGACCUAGCAAUAGGUUGAUGGCGACCGGCGCACGGGUGAGUAACACGUAUCCAACCUACCGGUUAUUCCGGGAUAGCCUUUCGAAAGAAAGAUUAAUACCGGAUAGUAUAACGAGAAGGCAUCUUUUUGUUAUUAAAGAAUUUCGAUAACCGAUGGGGAUGCGUUCCAUUAGGUAGUAGGCGGGGUAACGGCCC